CUGCUCAAAAUGGGAGGUAUAUUUCUUCUAAAGCUAAAUACCGGCCAGAGACCGAUAGCGCCAAGUAGAGUGAUCGAAAGAUGAAAAGCACUUUGAAAAGAGGGUUAAACAGCACGUGAAAUUGUUAAAAGGGAAGCGCUUGUGACCAGACUUGCGUCCGGUGAAUCACCCAGCUCUCGCGGCUGGGGCACUUCGCCGGCUCAGGCCAGCAUCAGCUCGCUGUCGGGGACAAAAGCUUCAGGAACGUAGCUCUCUUCGGGGAGUGUUAUAGCCUGUUGCAUAAUACCCUUCGGCGGGCUGAGGUACGCGCUCCGCAAGGAUGCUG
rnacentral:rRNA from 1 species